UACAUUUAACAGUUUUUCAGC
rnacentral:siRNA from 1 species